rnacentral:lncRNA from 1 species
AAUCGUAUAAUUCAAUUAUACUUUAAUUCAUAACCCGAAACCAAAAAAAUCAUUCUUUUACGAAUACAAAAAAAAAAAACUGAAGUGAGAAACAGAAGUCAAAAUAAUAGACUGGUAUGUGCUAUAAAACCAAAUAAGCCAUGAGAAUUGCCAUAGGAUAAUAAUUCAAAUAAGACUAUAUCAGAUUCUGACAAAACAAUAAUCAUAACUUCAUAAGGCAAUUAUCAAUGCACGAAGAGGAAAAAAAAACUUUAACAAUUACACACGGCUUACGAUGCGGUACACACAUAUAUAAAUCACAUACCAAAAUCUAUUAUUAUAGGAUAAUAAACUGAAACCUUAAUCGAUUUGCCAGGAAACAAAUAUCGAAACAAAACAAAAACUUAAGCGAUUUGCCCGAAACAAAUUCCUGUAAAAAUCGAUUAUGGCAAAGAACUUAUUUCUCAACGAUUAAACAUGAUAGCUCUGAUACCACUUGUUAGAAUUUCAAUUGAUUCAUAAAUCCUAGAGUCGAUCAUGUUAAUCAUUAAGAAAUAAAACAUAAUCAUAAGCGGAAGCGUACCUGAGUUUGCCAUAGCUAAUGGAUUGAAGUUCACCGGGUAUGUGANNNUUCACGUUAUAUCUACAGUUGGGGACCAUAACCCUUAUAAAUAACCUUAGGGUUAUUUCUUAGUUUUCAAUAUUCUAAUUUGGCCCCUCAUCAAAUUAUAUAUUGACUUAUGGUAUCUACACAAUAAAUUAUCUUUCAUGAUAUUUAUGCUUUUAGCCAUAGACUUAUUAUUAAUUAUUAAUUAGACCACUGAUGCUUUGGCUAAUUACAUAAUGGCCCUAACACAUGUAAUAUUACUAUUGUGACCCAAAAAUCCUAACAAAA